GAUGAACGCUGGCGGCGUGCCUAAUACAUGCAAGUCGAGCGAAUGGAUUAAGAGCUUACUCUUAUGAAGUUAGCGGCGGACGGGUGAGUAACACGUGGGUAAGCUGCCCAUAAGACUGGGAUAACUCCGAGAAACCGGGGCUAAUACCGGAUAACAUUUUGAACCGCAUUGUGCCAAAUUGAAAGGCGGCUUGGUCUUACAAGUAUGGAUGGACGCGCGUCGCAUUAGCGAGUUGGUGAGGUAACGGCUCACCAAGGCAACGAUGCGUAGCCGACCUGAGAGGGUGAGCGGCCACGCGGGGACUGAGACACGGCCCAGAUUCCUACGGGAGGCAGCAGUAGGGAAUCUUCCGCAAUGGACGAAAGUCUGACGGAGCAACGCCGCGUGAGUGAUGAAGGCUUUCGGGUCGUAAAACUCUGUUGUUAGGGAAGAACAAGUGCUAGUUGAAUAAGCUGGCACCUUGACGGUACCUAACCAGAAAGCCACGGCUAACUACGUGCCAGCAGCCGCAGUAA
rnacentral:rRNA from 1 species